rnacentral:rRNA from 1 species
CAAUAGCGUAUAUUAAGGUUGUUGCAGUUAAAAAGCUCGUAGUUGAAACUUGGGCCUGGCUGGCGGGUCCGCCUCACCGCGUGCACUCGUCCGGCCGGGCCUUCCUUCUGAAGAACCUCAUGCCCUUCACUGGGCGUGCUGGGGAAUCAGGACUUUUACUUUGAAAAAAUUAGAGUGUUCAAAGCAGGCCUUUGCUCGAAUACGUUAGCAUGGAAUAAUAAAAUAGGGCGUGCGUUUCUAUUUUGUUGGUUUCUAGAGACGCCGCAAUGAUUAACAGGAACAGUCGGGGGCAUCAGUAUUCAGUUGUCAGAGGUGAAAUUCUUGGAUUUACUGAAGACUAACUACUGCGAAAGCAUUUGCCAAGGAUGUUUUCAUUAA